AAAAGAAAAAGGAAAAAAUAAAGAUAUUAUAUGUUCAACUCAAAAACAUGUAACAUUAUGGCAUCGACAGCGUUUAGCCUUGCGAAAGCCAUUGUAGCGGUUCACUCAAAGCAAGAAAGAUUUCAAUCAAUCCUUUUAGGUCCCUCUGUGUCGGACAGUCGUGGAAUUAGAAUAUGCUCCUCCAUAAAACAAGUGGAGAAGCAAAGCCAGAAGAGACAGGCUAAUUGUAAAUUAGUGAUGAUGAUGACGAUGGAAAACAAAACAUUUCGAAACAAACCCAGAAUUCUAUGCAUCCAUAGCUUCAGGACAAGUGCUGCAAUUUUCCAAAAGAUGAUAGAAAGAUGGCCUGUAACUGUUCUUGAAAAGCUUCAACUUCAUUUUCUUGAUGGCCCAUUUCUUGCUCGAGGAAAAUCCGAUGUUGAACUCCUUUUCGAUCCUCCUUAUUAUGAAUGGUAUCAGAGCAGUGAGGAUUUUAAAGUGUACGAGGAUUUUGAAGAAUGUGUUGCUUAUAUUGAAGAAUAUAUGUUAAAAUAUGGUCCUUUUGAUGGUUUGCUUGGUUUCUCUCAGGGAGCAUUUAUAACAGCAGCUGUGCCAGGAAUGCAAGCUCAGGGUGUGGCUUUUACAAAGGUACCAAAGAUAAGAUUUCUUAUAUUAAUAUCUGGGGCUAAGUUUGGAGGGUACAAGUUUGGCCAACCUAAGCUCGCUGGUAGUGCAUAUUCAUCUCCUAUUGACUGCCCUUCGCUCCACAUUAUAGGGGAGAAAGAUUUUAUGAAGCCCGGUGGAAUCGAUCUCCUAGGGUCAUUUGUGGACCCCGUUGUGAUUCAUCAUCCCAAGGGGCACAUUAUACCAAGACUUGAUGAUAUCAGCCUCAAGACAAUGCUUAGCUUCAUCGAAAAGAUGGAAUUGAGGCCUUCACUUUGAUCAAUGUAUCUGCUUGGAUGCCAAGACCACUAGCUUCUUUCACCCAGUCCUCAGCUCUCUCUUCCUGCAUGUAUAUCUCUCUUUUGUUUAUAUAGUGUUAAUGAUGUAGUGCAGUAGUAGAGGGAGGGAAUACUAUGUAAAGAAGAAAUUUUACAGAAAUUACUGAGAAGUGGAGAUGAAAAAAUGAAUGCUUCAUACAGAGAUUGAAGAAAUGCUGCUUUGAAGACUCAUCGGGGGGAAGAGGAAAAAGAAAUUGUUGAAGGAAGAAAUAUGAUUAGAAGUAAAGGGCUAUAACAAGUGGUGGGGGCAUGGGCUUAAAGAGGAGACCAAGAAAAUGAGAGUGGUGGUGGAAUCAUUAAUGCAUUUUGAGUGAGAUAGGGUGUGGAAAUAAUGAAAAUAGAUACUAAAUCAUAAAAAAUAUUACUUAUAAUUGUGUCUUAAAGGUUCAGAUAGGGUUUGGUGAUAAUGACAAUAACUUUAUUAUAGAGUUUUCUAUAGGAACAGAAUGAAAAAUAGACAAGAGUCGGGGAUAUUCUAUUAUUUUGUUAGCAAUGCAAAUUAGUUGUUUAUUUA